rnacentral:rRNA from 1 species
GUUUAAAGCCAUACCUCCCCAAAUACACCCUCAUCUGAUCUUGGAAGCCAAGUAGGGUCUUUGGCCUGGUUAAUACUUUCUUUAAUGGGACACUGCCUGGGAAUUCAGGAUGCUUUUUUUU